rnacentral:rRNA from 1 species
UACGGGGGGGGCAAGCGUUGUUCGGAAUUACUGGGCGUAAAGGGCUCGUAGGCGGCCAACUAAGUCAGACGUGAAAUCCCUCGGCUUAACCGGGGAACUGCGUCUGAUACUGGAUGGCUUGAGUUUGGGAGAGGGAUGCGGAAUUCCAGGUGUAGCGGUGAAAUGCGUAGAGAUGUGGAGGAACACCAGUGGCGAAGGCGGCUUUCUGGUCUGUAACUGACGCUGAGGAGCGAAAGCUAGGGGAGCAAACGGG